rnacentral:rRNA from 1 species
UACGUAGGGGGCAAGCGUUGUCCGGAAUCAUUGGGCGUAAAGCGCGUGUAGGCGGUUCGGUAAGUCUGCUGUGAAAGUCCAGGGCUCAACCCCGGGAUGCCGGUGGAUACUGUCGGACUAGAGUACGGAAGAGGCGAGUGGAAUUCCUGGUGUAGCGGUGAAAUGCGUAGAUAUCAGGAGGAACACCGGUGGUGUAGACGGCUCACUGGACCGUAACUGACGCUGAGACACGAAAGCGUGGGUAGCAAACAGG